UUCCGUGCGGCGUGCCGGCGGAUCACGUGCGCUCGCACCGCCGAAAGUCCCCGCAGAGGUAGCUUACGCAUCGGUCCGAGUGAGCGGAUUCCGUGGCGCGGUUAUUUUUUGGCGGUUAUUUUUCAUUUCAACGCCCCGUUUGUUGUUAACUUUUUUUUCUUUUAUUUUUUUUUUUACCAUAAUAUUAUUGUUCUGAUAAUCGUGUCCGACACCGUUUCCGCGUCCGUUCCGUAUUCUUACGAUCGGGUUUCCGGCCCGUCGCGCCCACCGUCGUACAUCCCAAUCGCUGUUAAACGUCUCGGAUCCCGGUUCAUCCUUAUCUUGACAUUCGUUUUUGACGGUUGACAGUUCAAGCAACGUUAGCGUAAAUCCAUCGGCGUGAAAUACGAACGAGUUCGAGACAACAUCACGGCGGACGCGCACUGAAAACGCGUUACAGAUCGCUCCGGCCACUGGUAUAAUUGAACGCUCUUUGUUGUGAACAAGAAAUGUGUCAGCCGUCAAGCGAGAAACGAACGGCAGCGACGGCAAUUCGAUCACCACCGAGGACUAACCGAUAACCUGGGUUAAUGGUCAAUCAUCGCGACAAACGGCACGAAGACCGUACCGGAAAGUAGUUGAAAAAGCAAAACGGAAAGAAAUCAACGAAAAUAAGAAAAAUAUAACAGUUGAUUUUGUAGUAAACGUCAGUAGCGAAAACAACGACGACAUGGAAACCGUGACCGUGGCCGAAGAAGAGAUGACUACUCAGAAAUACACGAACGUAACAGAACAGUACAUGGCCGAAGAAAUAAACUCGUUCUAUUUCUACGAAACCGUACAGUUCACAGUGCUAUGGAUAUUGUUCCUGUCGAUCGUGCUGGGCAACGGAGCCGUGCUGGUGGCCUUAUCGUUCAACAAAGCUCGCAAGAACCGCAUGAACUUUUUCAUCAUGCACCUUGCGCUGGCCGAUUUGUUGGUGGGACUGGUGAGCGUGAUGAUCGACAUGAUAUGGAGAACGACCGUUACCUGGUCAGCCGGACCGAUUGCUUGCAAAGUCGUCAAAUACUUACAGGUGGUCGUCACGUAUUCGUCUACGUACGUGCUGGUCGCGUUAAGCAUCGACAGAUAUGACGCAAUCACACACCCGAUGAACUUUUCCAGCAGCUGGCGCAGAGCCAGAGCGUUGAUCGGCUGCGCAUGGAUAUUGAGUUUCGUGCUCGCCGUGCCCAGUGUGUUUAUUAACGAAGAGACGGUAAUACAAGGUCGCACGCAGUGCUGGAUCGAACUUUUGCCGUGGCAAUGGAAACUGUACAUAAGCAUAGUGGCGACGACGGUGUUCGUGGUGCCGGCGAUCAUCAUCAGCGGAUGUUACACGAUAAUCGUUUACACGAUUUGGUCGAAGAGCAAACUCCUGUCGCCGGCCAAAAGCAACGCGGUACAGCGAGGCACCAAAAAGCCCGAAGAGCACGACAUCAGGAGAUCCAGUUCUAGGGGCAUCAUACCGAAAGCGAAAAUCAAAACGGUGAAAAUGACGUUUGUCAUAGUGUUCGUGUUCAUCCUGUGCUGGAGCCCGUACAUCGUUUUCGACCUGCUGCAGGUGUACGGUUACAUACCGAAAACGCAGUCGAACGUUGCGCUCGCCACGUUCAUACAGAGCCUGGCGCCGCUGAACUCCGCCGCCAACCCGAUCAUUUACUGCCUGUUCUCCACGCACAUUUGCCGAUCUCUCAGGUAGAAGUUGCAAUGCACGUAUUUACCGCCGUCGGCCGCCGCCGGUUUCGCGCACGGAAAACCGCCACCGCGCAGAGACAAGUCCCACCAUUCAAAUGGUUAAGGUGUUGCAGAAACGGAACACAGGAGCAACUGAGCUACACAGAAACACUAACAUCGUCCA
rnacentral:misc_RNA from 1 species